ACAAUGGUUCCUUUUGGAACCCAAAUUUUUCUAUUACAAAAUUUUU
rfam:Cephalotus follicularis DNA, scaffold: scaffold2, isolate: St1.